rnacentral:tRNA from 1 species
CGCAGGGUAGAGCAGUUGGAAGCUUGUCGGGCUCAUAACCCGAAGGUCGUAGGUUCGAGUCCUACCCCUGCUA